rnacentral:rRNA from 1 species
CCCUUAGAGUUUGAUCCUGGCUCAGGAUGAACGCUAGCUACAGGCUUAACACAUGCAAGUCGAGGGGAAACGACAUCGAAAGCUUGCUUUCGAUGGGCGUCGACCGGCGCACGGGUGAGUAACGCGUAUCCAACCUGCCCAUCACUUGGGGAUAACCUUGCGAAAGUAAGACUAAUACCCAAUGACGUCUCUAGAAGACAUCUGAAGGAGAUUAAAGAUUUAUCGGUGAUGGAUGGGGAUGCGUCUGAUUAGCUUGUUGGCGGGGUAACGGCCCACCAAGGCGACGAUCAGUAGGGGUUCUGAGAGGAAGGUCCCCCACAUUGGAACUGAGACACGGUCCAAACUCCUACGGGAGGCAGCAGUGAGGAAUAUUGGUCAAUGGGCGAGAGCCUGAACCAGCCAAGUAGCGUGCAGGAUGACGGCCCUAUGGGUUGUAAACUGCUUUUAUAAGGGAAUAAAGUGAGCCUCGUGAGGCUUUUUGCAUGUACCUUAUGAAUAAGGACCGGCUAAUUCCGUGCCAGCAGCCGCGGUAAUACGGAAGGUCCGGGCGUUAUCCGGAUUUAUUGGGUUUAAAGGGAGCGUAGGCCGGAGAUUAAGCGUGUUGUGAAAUGUAGACGCUCAACGUCUGCACUGCAGCGCGAACUGGUUUCCUUGAGUACGCACAAAGUGGGCGGAAUUCGUGGUGUAGCGGUGAAAUGCUUAGAUAUCACGAAGAACUCCGAUUGCGAAGGCAGCUCACUGGAGCGCAACUGACGCUGAAGCUCGAAAGUGCGGGUAUCGAACAGGAUUAGAUACCCUGGUAGUCCGCACGGUAAACGAUGGAUGCCCGCUGUUGGUCUGAAUAGGUCAGCGGCCAAGCGAAAGCAUUAAGCAUCCCACCUGGGGAGUACGCCGGCAACGGUGAAACUCAAAGGAAUUGACGG